rnacentral:rRNA from 1 species
GUAGCUUGCUAUCAAUGGUGAGAGUGGCGCACGGGUGCGUAACGCGUGAGCAACCUACCUCUAUCAGGGGGAUAGCCUCUCGAAAGAGAGAUUAACACCGCAUAAUAUAAUCUACCGGCAUCGGGAGAUUAUUAAAUAUUUAUAGGAUAGAGAUGGGCUCGCGUGACAUUAGCUAGUUGGUAGGGUAACGGCUUACCAAGGCGACGAUGUCUAGGGGCUCUGAGAGGAGAAUCCCCCACACUGGUACUGAGACACGGACCAGACUCCUACGGGAGGCAGCAGUAAGGAAUAUUGGUCAAUGGGCGGAAGCCUGAACCAGCCAUGCCGCGUGCAGGACGACUGCCCUAUGGGUUGUAAACUGCUUUUGUCCAGGAAUAAACCUAUCUACGUGUAUAUAGCUGAAUGUACUGGAAGAAUAAGGAUCGGCUAACUCCGUGCCAGCAGCCGCGGUAAUACGGAGGAUCCGAGCGUUAUCCGGAUUUAUUGGGUUUAAAGGGUGCGUAGGCGGCCUAUUAAGUCAGGGGUGAAAUACGGUGGCUCAACCAUCGCAGUGCCUUUGAUACUGAUGGGCUUGAAUCCAUUUGAAGUGGGCGGAAUAAGACAAGUAGCGGUGAAAUGCAUAGAUAUGUCUUAGAACUCCGAUUGCGAAGGCAGCUCACUAAGCUGGUAUUGACGCUGAUGCACGAAAGCGUGGGGAUCGAACAGGAUUAGAUACCCUGGUAGUCCACGCCCUAAACGAUGAUAACUCGAUGUUGGCGAUAGACAGCCAGCGUCUUAG